AAAGUCCGUAACAAGGUUUCCGUAGGUGAACCUGCGGAAGGAUCAUUACCUAGAGUUGCGGGCUUUGCCUGCCAUCUCUUACCCAUGUCUUUUGAGUACCUUCGUUUCCUCGGCGGGUUCGCCCGCCGGUUGGACAACACUUAAACCCUUUGUAAUUGAAAUCAGCGUCUGAAAAACUUUAAUAGUUACAACUUUCAACAACGGAUCUCUUGGUUCUGGCAUCGAUGAAGAACGCAGCGAAAUGCGAUAAGUAGUGUGAAUUGCAGAAUUCAGUGAAUCAUCGAAUCUUUGAACGCACAUUGCGCCCCUUGGUAUUCCAUGGGGCAUGCCUGUUCGAGCGUCAUUUGUACCUUCAAGCUCUGCUUGGUGUUGGGUGUUUGUCUCGCCUUUUGCGCGCAGACUCGCCUCAAAACGAUUGGCAGCCGGCGUAUUGAUUUCGGAGCGCAGUACAUCUCGCGCUUUGCACUCACAACGACGACGUCCAAAAAGUACAUUUUUACACUCUUGACCUCGGAUCAGGUAGGGAUACCCGCUGAACUUAAGCAUAUCAAUAA
rnacentral:rRNA from 1 species